UACGUAGGGGGCAAGCGUUGCUCGGAAUCACUGGGCGUAAAGGGUGCGUAGGCGGAUCUUUAAGUCAGGGGUGAAAUCCUGGAGCUCAACUCCAGAACCGCCUUUGAUACUGAAGAUCUUGAGUUCGGGAGAGGUGAGUGGAACUGCGAGUGUAGAGGUGAAAUUCGUAGAUAUUCGCAAGAACACCAGUGGCGAAGGCGGCUCACUGGCCCGAUACUGACGCUGAGGCACGAAAGCGUGGGGAGCAAACAGG
rnacentral:rRNA from 1 species